AUUGAUACCUUUUCUCCCUCAGCAGUCUGCAUAACACCUGCCAGCACUACAAAAUGUAGAUCUCAGGGAGAGUUUCCCACCCAUGCAGGUCUACAGAGCAAACUCAACAUUUCUAACCAAGUUAAUAGAGAAAUUAGGUGGCCACUGAGGGAUUUGCCUUAAUCCCCUGCUGACAGAGUGUGUUAUGACUAACUUCCAGAGGGAUAAUUAGUGGCUCCUCCUCAUGGCAAGGUUCCCCCAAUGUACUCUUGCAUGGCCUGGAGCUCUUAAUAUAAACCAGGUUGGACUCACAAAGAUCUGCUUCUGGACUAAAGUUAUCUAACCUCAGGUACUUCAUCAUAGUAAUGGAAAACAAACUGGUACAAGCGUCAGGUCAGGAGGGCAGCAGUUCAUUGAAGCAUGUCCGGUUCUGUAAGAUGACACUAAAAUCAAGUCUGGCAGUGGAAGAGUUGAAACUACUUCCUUAGAAGAGAAAACUGGCCCGAGAGAUUGUAGGCUCCUAUUUCUCACUGGGAAAAUGAUAGAUUUGGACAAUGGGCAGAGUUUUGCUCAUCUGAGUCCAAAAUGGGAAAAAGUAACUGAACCACAAAGACCAUAUCAAGGGCAGCCUAAGUCAGGAAGCCUGGCUCCAAAUCUCCAGCUGACUUGGGGAAAAUUACCGGAACACUCUGACCCCAGCUGCCCCAUCUUUGGGUGAGUAUUUUAGGUUAAGCAUGAAAACAGUGACCACUAUGUU
rnacentral:lncRNA from 1 species